AGUGAACGCUGGCGGUAGGCCUAACACAUGCAAGUCGAACGGCAGCACAGGAGAGCUUGCUCUCUGGGUGGCGAGUGGCGGACGGGUGAGGAAUACAUCGGAAUCUACUCUGUCGUGGGGGAUAACGUAGGGAAACUUACGCUAAUACCGCAUACGACCUACGGGUGAAAGCAGGGGACCUUCGGGCCUUGCGCGAUUGCAUGGGCCGAUGUCGGAUUAGCUAGUUGGCGGGGUAAAGGCCCACCAAGGCGACGAUCCGUAGCUGGUCUGAGAGGAUGAUCAGCCACACUGGAACUGAGACACGGUCCAGACUCCUACGGGAGGCAGCAGUGGGGAAUAUUGGACAAUGGGCGCAAGCCUGAUCCAGCCAUACCGCGUGGGUGAAGAAGGCCUUCGGGUUGUAAAGCCCUUUUGUUGGGAAAGAAAUCCAGCUGGCUAAUACCCGGUUGGGAUGACGGUACCCAAAGAAUAAGCACCGGCUAACUUCGUGCCAGCAGCCGCUGUAA
rnacentral:rRNA from 1 species